rnacentral:rRNA from 1 species
UGGCGGCGUGCCUAAUACAUGCAAGUCGAACGCACUCUCGUUUAGAUUGAAGGAGCUUGCUCCUGAUUGAUAAACAUUUGAGUGAGUGGCGGACGGGUGAGUAACACGUGGGUAACCUGCCCUAAAGUGGGGGAUAACAUUUGGAAACAGAUGCUAAUACCGCAUAAAACCUAACACCGCAUGGUGUAGGGUUGAAAGAUGGUUUCGGCUAUCACUUUAGGAUGGACCCGCGGUGCAUUAGUUAGUUGGUGAGGUAAAGGCUCACCAAGACCGUGAUGCAUAGCCGACCUGAGAGGGUAAUCGGCCACACUGGGACUGAGACACGGCCCAGACUCCUACGGGAGGCAGCAGUAGGGAAUCUUCCACGAUGGACGAAAGUCUGAUGGAGCAACGCCGCGUGAGUGAAGAAGGUUUUCGGAUCGUAAAACUCUGUUGUUGGAGAAGAAUGUAUCUGAUAGUAACUGAUCAGGUAGUGACGGUAUCCAACCAGAAAGCCACGGCUAACUACGUG